AAACAAAGUUAUUUAUCUGAUACCGUUUUGUUUCUGUGUAUAUAGUGAUUCCAAAUUUUGAAUUAAAGUUAUGUAUUUGAUUUAAAAAGGAUCUUCACUUAUUGAAUCUCUAGG